rnacentral:rRNA from 1 species
CCUACGGGAGGCAGCAGUGAGGAAUAUUGGUCAAUGGACGCAAGUCUGAACCAGCCAAGCCGCGUGCAGGAAGACGGCUCUAUGUGUUGUAAACCUCUUUUGUCAGGGGGUAAACGCAGAUACGCGUAUCUGUCUGAAUGUAUCGUACGAAUAAGGAUCGGCUAACUCCGUGCCAGCAGCCGCGGUAAUACGGAGGAUUCAAGCGUUAUCCGGAUUUAUUGGGUUUAAAGGGUGCGUAGGCGGUCGGAUAAGUUAGAGGUGAAAGCCCGAGGCUCAACUUCGGAAUUGCCGUUGAUACUGGUCGGCUAGAGAGUAGGUGCGGUAGGCGGAAUGUAUGGUGUAGCGGUGAAAUGCUUAGAGAU